rnacentral:lncRNA from 1 species
CUCCCCUGACAAUUUCUGGGAACAGUUUGAGUUUUAAGGUGAUAAAAUAGACACUCAGCAGGAAGACCUGUGACAUAGUGGGUCACCAGAUGAAAACUUUAGACAAAUUUUCUCCUAAGGAUUGCUUUGGAAACAUUCUAAAAGUUUUGAUAGAGAUCAAUGGAGAAGAAGUGGAGUCCUUUUUUAAAACAUGAGAAUGAUCUUUGCUUUAAGGAUAUUUAUUUGGCAGCUGUGGGGAAGAUGUGUUGGAGAAGGAAGAGACUUGAUACAGCAUCAAUUAGAAGGCUGUGGAGAUAGUCCAGGAAUGAGAUUUUCAGCAUCAUGUAGACACAGCUUCAGAUCCAGCCAAGUAGACCAGAAGAGUGUUCAAAAGACUGAAUAAUUUGGGGAAAGUUGCUAUUGCCAUCCUCAUUUGGAAAAAAUGAAGAUGAAGAACAAAGGACAGCUUGUCUCAAAUAAUUUAGAAAGUCAACAGUUGGGCUGUGGAGUUGAGUAAACUAAAUUUGCAUAAUUUGGAAGUCAUUGUAUAAAAACUAUUGCCAGAAAAAAGUCCCCCAACCCCUCCUUCCUCAGGAGCUUCUUUGAAAAAAGGCCACAAUGCAAAAUUAUAAUGGGGUUAAUGGUACUUGGAGAUUAACAAGAUAAUUUUUUAUGUAAUGCUUGCAGAAACUUGUCUGCUUUCUAACCCGGUUAUCUAUUUGCUUCUGGGAAUAGUUGGAGGUGAUAUAAUUAACCUGCGAAGGCUUGUAGGGCAUAGGUUUUUCUGUGUUCCCUCGGUAGUGAAAAUUAGCCAACCAUUCCCAUUAACUGCUCUCUAGGCUGUAUUCUAAGAAACUGGAAGCUGACAGCUUGCUGUGGACAAACCUAAUUUUGGCAAUUGACAUCUCCUCCUAAUUCAGCGAAGCAUAAGCUCAUUAAUUGUCAAAAGUUGGGGCAAAGCCCAUCUUUUUAAUGAGGUCCUGUUUCCAGUGAAUAAGUAGAGGUCUGGGAAUAAAUGAGAAUUUGUAGGGGAGGAAGAGGAGGAA